AGUGAACGCUGGCGGUAGGCCUAACACAUGCAAGUCGAACGGCAGCACAGAGGAGCUUGCUCCUUGGGUGGCGAGUGGCGAACGGGUGAGGAAUACAUCGGAAUCUACUCUGUCGUGGGGGAUAACGUAGGGAAACUUACGCUAAUACCGCAUACGACCUACGGGUGAAAGCAGGGGACCUUCGGGCCUUGCGCGAUUGAAUGAGCCGAUGUCGGAUUAGCUAGUUGGCGGGGUAAAGGCCCACCAAGGCGACGAUCCGUAGCUGGUCUGAGAGGAUGAUCAGCCACACUGGAACUGAGACACGGUCCAGAUUCCUACGGGAGGCAGCAGUGGGGAAUAUUGGACAAUGGGCGCAAGCCUGAUCCAGCCAUACCGCGUGGGUGAGGAAGGCCUUCGGGUUGUAAAGCCCUUUUGUUGGGAAAGAAAUCCAGCUGGCUAAUACCCGGUUGGGAUGACGGUACCCAAAGAAUAAGCACCGGCUAACUUCGUGCCAGCCGCCGCGGUAA
rnacentral:rRNA from 1 species